CCCUUAGAUGUUCUGGGCUGCACGCGCGCUACACUGAAGCUAUCAACACGUUUUCCCUCCCUGAGAAGGGCGGGUAACCUUUUGAAUCAGCUUCGUGGUAGGGAUCGGGGCUUGCAAUUGUUCCCCGUGAACCAGGAAUUCCUAGUAGACGCGAGUCAUAAGCUCGCAUCGAUUAAGUCCCUGCCCUUUGUACACACCGCCCGUCGCUACUACCGAUUGAACGUUUUAGUGAGGCAUUUGGACCGACGCAUCUCAGUUUAACCGCUGGUUUGUGUUGGAAAGACUUCCAAACUUGAGCGUUUAGAGGAAGUGAAAGUCGUAACA
rnacentral:rRNA from 1 species